rnacentral:lncRNA from 1 species
AAAUGGGGGUAACUACCAGAGACCUGACCCCCUUUUCCCUUCCCAGUAUUCCAGCCAAAGGACCGGUCAUCGAGACCUCUGAAAUCCUGCACGUGAACAAAGCCGACCGCUCCAUGGGCUUUAUCCCAAACUUUAACGGGAAGCCUUCCACGUGGAAUUUCGAAGAAAUCAUUGACCUCGCGGUGCAUCCUAAGGCAGCCAGGCUUGGUUCAGAGAGCAUCGCGGCUGAGGUGCCAGGCCAGAAGUUCAGAGACGGCGUUCCGUUACCAGCAAGCCCAAAGCUGGCGUUUGAGGAGGACGGUGGCAGGAAUCCCUUGACCAAACCCAUUGAGGCGGCAUCAGAACUGUGAACACUACAACCCGGGAAGGUUCCUGAGGGCCACGCAAGGAUGCGCAGGGCUCCUCCAGGCAGGCAGGAAGGCCUCGGUUUGGAAAAAAACUACUUGUCAACUCCACAUUUCUCUCCCGCCACAGCCCCUCCCCUUGGCCGAUCCGGCUUUGCCCCUUGAAGCGUCGCAAAGCAGGAAAGGCAGGGGGUUGUUUCGCUGUUGCUUUGUCCUCCCUCUUUAAUGAGAUUUUUGCUUUUUUUAAAAAAACAAAACGAAACAACCCAUUUGUUCUCCUUUGGAUGAAUUGUUCCGUCCAUUGCGGUUGGUCCUUUAAUAUUCCUCCCCGUUUUCGCCAGUAAACACGGCGGCUUGUACCAGAGACGUUAACAAGCUAGCAUUUGCCCAGGAUAACCCCCACAUCUGCAAGGUAACGCGAUUUAAUCCGAUGUAUAUUUAAAAAAAAAAAAAAACCCAAAACAGAGCCAAUGUCAUGCGUUCCCCCCCUCGCGCUUGUUGUUUCGGGCGGAGCGACGGUUACUUCGAAUUUAACUUGAAUAUCUAAAAAUAUAGCACCUCACUCUAGAACAAGUCCUUUUUUGGGUCAGAUCAUUUCUCAGCUUCAAAACAAAAUGACCACCAACCUCUUGAUUGUCUCUACCAACACUUGAAAGCCAGCGCUUGUUCCGGAUGGACGGGGGAUUUUUCAACACUCAACAGGGCCCCCCCAAAGUCGGACAGCGCUCCAUUCUGUUGCCUUACGCAGCUCUCUCUGGGGCCAGCUCCCUCUCUUCUCAGUGUGGCAAGGGGGGCUCAAUGGAGACCCCUCCAGCGAAGCUUGGCUCACCAGCACAAGGUGGUGGGUGUGUAGACGAGCCCUGAGAUCUGGGGUGUGUUUUUGUGCAGGGUGUAAGGAAGGAGACGAGUCCUACAGCUGCAGAACCACCCACCCCCCCAGACCACAUGCUUUUAGGAGAGAGGGGGGCAGAACAUCUUACCUUAUUUAUCUAUUUUUAUUCAUCGA